rnacentral:rRNA from 1 species
GAUGAACGCUGGCGGCGUGCCUAAUACAUGCAAGUCGAGCGACCAGACGAGGAGCUUGCUCCUCUGACGUUAGCGGCUGACGGGUGAGUAACACGUGGAUAACCUACCUAUAAUACUGGGAUAACUUCGGGAAACCGGAGCUAAUACCGCAUAAUAUAUUGAACCGCAUGGUUCAAUAGUGAAAGACGGUUUUGCUGUCACUUUUAGAUGGAUCCGCGCCGCAUUAGCUAGUUGGUAAGGUAACGGCUUACCAAGGCAACGAUGCGUAGCCGACCUGAGAGGGUGAUCGGCCACACUGGAACUGAGACACGGUCCAGACUCCUACGGGAGGCAGCAGUAGGGAAUCUUCGGCAAUGGGCGAAAGCUUGACGGAGCAACGCCGCGUGAGUGAAGAAGGUCUUCGGAUCGUAAAACUCUGUUAUUAGGGAAGAACAAAUGUGUAAGUAACUAUGCACGUCUUGACGGUACCUAAUCAGAAAGCCACGGCUAACUACGUG